rnacentral:misc_RNA from 1 species
ACAGAGAAAACCCAUUUGAAUGAACCAUGGACCAGCUUGAAACUCCAAAAGUUUCAAUUAGAAAGUACAAAACAGUGCAAAAUAGACAUGCACAAGAAUUUUAUGAGCAAUGUUUUUAGGUAUUAACAGAAUUUUUAUGAGAUAUGAUUUUAGUAGAGAGAAAAGGGAAUAAGAGAUGAUGAACAGGAGCAGGAGAAGAAAAUAAUUAAGGAGGCAAGAUGAUGAAGAUAAGGAAGAGGAAUCUAGGAGAGGAAAAUACAAUGAAGAUAAGGAAGAGAAAA